rnacentral:lncRNA from 1 species
GGGUAAACAGUGGAAGACAGGCCAGUUCAUGUGGUUAAUAGAUGGUAGUAGGGGUAAACAGUGGAAGACAGGCCAGUUCAUGUGGUUAAUAGAUGGCAGUAGGGGUAAACAGUGGAAGACAGGCCAGUUCAUGUGGUUAAUAGAUGGUAGUAGGGGUAAACAGUGGAAGACAGGCCAGUUCAUGUGGUUAAUAGAUGGUAGUAGUGGUAAACAGUGGAAGACAGGCCAGUUCAUGUGGUUAAUAGAUGGCAGUAGGGGUAAACAGUGGAAGACAGGCCAGUUCAUGUGGUUAAUAGAUGGUAGUAGUGGUAAACAGUGGAAGGCGGGCCAGUUCAUGUGGUUAAUAGAUGGUAGUAGGGGUAAACAGUGGAAGACAGGCCAGUUCAUGUGGUUAAUAGAUGGUAGUAGGGGUAAACAGUGGAAGACAGGCCAGUUCAUGUGGUUAAUAGAUGGUAGUAGUGGUAAACAGUGGAAGACAGGCCAGUUCAUGUGGUUAAUAGAUGGCAGUAGGGGUAAACAGUGGAAGACAGGCCAGUUCAUGUGGUUAAUAGAUGGUAGUGAGGGGUAAACAGUGGAAGACAGGCCAGUUCAUGUGGUUAAUAGAUGGCAGUAGGGGUAAACAGUGGAAGACAGGCCAGUUCAUGUGGUUAAUAGAUGGUAGUAGUGGUAAACAGUGGAAGGUGGACCAGUUCAUGUGGUUAAUAGAUGGUAGUAGUGGUAAACAGUGGAAGGUGGACCAGUUCAUGUGGUUAAUAGACAGAUGUUAGUAGGGGUAAACAGUGGAAGGUGGACCAGUUCAUGUGGUUAAUAGACAGAUGUUAGUAGGGGUAAACAAUGCGUCUAGACAGACUAAAGCACUAGGCCACUACAUGCCAAUGAUUGAAGUAGUACACACUGCUAAUAGUAUUCAGGGAGGUUGAAGGUGACUUAAAUGUUAUGUCUGCGUCCCACGAGACACCAUAUUCCAACUAUAAUGCUACGGUCUGCACUGAACUCAAAAACACCAUAAUUUCUUAUCAAAUAACCAACAAGUAAAAGCCAUUGAUCAGAACCUGUACUAUUAACCCGAGGACAGAUACUGUAUAUGUGAAUACCGGGUGCCUUGACUAAAAAAGGAAGGAUGAAUGUCAUUACAGGAUAUCAAGAGAGAGUAAAUGAACAUGUGACUUCUCUCUUCCUGCAACACCA